rnacentral:rRNA from 1 species
UACGGAGGGGGCUAGCGUUGUUCGGAAUUACUGGGCGUAAAGCGCACGUAGGCGGCUUUGUAAGUUAGAGGUGAAAGCCCGGGGCUCAACUCCGGAAUUGCCUUUAAGACUGCAUCGCUAGAAUUGUGGAGAGGUAAGUGGAAUUCCGAGUGUAGAGGUGAAAUUCGUAGAUAUUCGGAAGAACACCAGUGGCGAAGGCGACUUGCCAGAACGCGCUCGACGGUGAGGGAUGAAAGCUGGGGGAGCAAACCGG